UGGGGAAUCUUGCGCAAUGGGCGAAAGCCUGACGCAGCCAUGCCGCGUGGAUGAUGAAGGUCUUAGGAUUGUAAAAUCCUUUCACCGGUGAAGAUAAUGACUGUAGCCGGAGAAGAAGCCCCGGCUAACUUCGUGCCAGCAGCCGCGGUAAUACGAAGGGGGCUAGCGUUGCUCGGAAUUACUGGGCGUAAAGGGAGCGUAGGCGGACAUUUAAGUCAGGGGUGAAAUCCCGAGGCUCAACCUCGGAACUGCCUUUGAUACUGGGUGUCUUGAGUGUGAGAGAGGUAUGUGGAACUCCGAGUGUAGAGGUGAAAUUCGUAGAUAUUCGGAAGAACUCCAGUGGAGAAGGCGACAUACUGGCUCAUUACUGACGCUGAGGCUCGAAAGCGUGGGGAGCAAACAGG
rnacentral:rRNA from 1 species